rnacentral:rRNA from 1 species
GAUGAACGCUGGCGGCGUGCCUAAUACAUGCAAGUCGAGCGAACAGACGAGGAGCUUGCUCCUCUGACGUUAGCGGCGGACGGGUGAGUAACACGUGGAUAACCUACCUAUAAGACUGGGAUAACUUCGGGAAACCGGAGCUAAUACCGGAUAAUAUAUUGAACCGCAUGGUUCAAUAGUGAAAGACGGUUUUGCUGUCACUUAUAGAUGGAUCCGCGCCGCAUUAGCUAGUUGGUAAGGUAACGGCUUACCAAGGCAACGAUGCGUAGCCGACCUGAGAGGAUGAUCGGCCACACUGGAACUGGAACACGGUCCAGACUCCUACGGGAGGCAGCAGUAGGGAAUCUUCCGCAGUGGGCGAGAGCCUGACGGAGCAACGCCGCGUGAGUGAUGAAGGUCUUCGGAUCGUAAAGCUCUGUUAUUAGGGAAGAACAAAUGUGUAAGUAACUAUGCACGUCUUGACGGUACCUAAUCAGAAAGCCACGGCUAACUACGUG